GAUGAAGAACGUAGCGAAAUGCGAUAAGUAAUGUGAAUUGCAGAAUUCAGUGAAUCAUCGAAUCUUUGAACGCACAUUGCGCCCGCCAGUAUUCUGGCGGGCAUGCCUGUUCGAGCGUCAUUACAACCCUCAGGCCCCCGGGCCUGGCGUUGGGGAUCGGCGGAGCCCCCCGUGGGCACACGCCGUCCCCCAAAUGCAGUGGCGGUCCCGCCGCAGCUUCCAUCGCGUAGUAGCUAACACCUCGCGACUGGAGAGCGGCGCGGCCACGCCGUAAAACACCCAACUCUUCUGAAGUUGACCUCGAAUCAGGUAGGAAUACACGCUGAACUUAAGCAUAUCAAUAAGCGGAGGA
rnacentral:misc_RNA from 1 species